UACGCUGCUGUAGAGGAUGAAAACUGUGAAAACCGGAGAAACCUGGAGAAAAUACAGCUAAAAACGAACUAUACUGAGGCUAACUUCAACACUACAAACGUGGUAGCUAACUGCUGUAAGAAUUUAGUUGUAAGUUCAGUGUUUAGAUAUAGCGCUUGAGACGACUACUAGCAGCGUCGGUAGCUUUGAUGUCCGUAGGAUUUCCCGCGACGCGCAGUCUUUGCUGAUUCAAGAGCGAGAAGACCUUGUGGCUUUACUGGGUGCCGCCAUUUUUGGGUGUGUGUCCAGCCGCUCUGGUGAAAUCGGUCAGGUUUUUUUUGUGUGUGUGUGUGUUUCUUUUCCCAUUGUCUGGAUUGGAUCUGCGGAUGAAAAUUGAUGGCGAGCCGUCCCUCUUGAAUGAUUGUGGAAGCCAUUCCCUCUUCAGGAUCACUGGACCUGUCCCGCUACUACUGCACUUUGCGGUGUGGUAGGCCCCACUACAACACAAAACCCCUUCACUCACCUUCACACUCCUUCCCCCACACACAUACAUACACCAACCCUAUGGAACUCUGAACUCUGACUUACCUUCGACACAUCCAUUUUUUUGUUUGGACUUUGGACUCACUUAAACAAACUCACCUGUUCACA